rnacentral:rRNA from 1 species
CAGUAGCCGCGGUAAUACGUAGGGUGCAAGCGUUAAUCGGAAUUACUGGGCGUAAAGCGUGCGCAGGCGGUUUUGUAAGUCUGUCGUGAAAUCCCCGGGCUCAACCUGGGAAUGGCGAUGGAGACUGCAAGGCUAGAAUCUGGCAGAGGGGGGUAGAAUUCCACGUGUAGCAGUGAAAUGCGUAGAUAUGUGGAGGAACACCGAUGGCGAAGGCAGCCCCCUGGGCUAAGAUUGACGCUCAUGCACGAAAGCGUGGGGAGCAAACAGGAUUAGAUACCCGCGUAGUCCCUGUCUCUUAUAC